CUAUCUUUAAAAAAGAUGGACGUUCCAAACCCCCAAUCCCCAUAAAACCCUAGCUCCCUUUCUUCAACCCUAAUUGCUAGCCAAUCACUAAUAUACACCUUGCUAUAAAAAUCAAUAUGAAAUUAAUUCACUAACCCUUCAAAUCCUCUUCCAGUUGCAAAUAAUUCAUUGGUUGAAUACUCCUUCAUUUAAUGUUCCUUCCUUUCUUCAUAUACCUAUCAUCUUCACAAUCCUAAUAUUUCUAUCUUAAUUUCUCACAACCGUAUUUUCUUCUCCUUCUUCUUCCUCAUUAAUUUCUCAAAGACAUGCAAAUAUUCCAUGUGUCCAAACUCUAAUCUUUCUCCCUAACAUCUCACAAUUGUAUCUUCUUCUCCUUCUCCCUUAUUAAUUGCUCAAAAGACAUGCAAAUAUUUCAUGUGUCCAACAUGCAAAUAUUCCAUGUUUCUCUAUAAAUACCAACAAUCAUCAUUUAUCUUGCCAAAAAAAUGGCUCUCUCAGGAAUUUGUAUGAUUGUGAUAACUUUGCAGUGGUUUCUCUAUGACAUUAUAAAAGUACUAUCUGGAUUAUUGUGAGGUUUGUUGUUAAUCUCAUUGUAAGUGUCACUCUUGGAUUGUCAGCUCUUAAUGUUAUUGGAGACAAGAAAUUGAAGCUCAAAUUUGGAGGUGUGGCAUUAGGAGACAUUUGGAUCUCACAGAAGAUUUUGUGAAUCUGAGUUUCUUACUCCAAAAAGUUGCUUGCGAACUCUAUUGAUACUGUUGAGAAGGCUCUUGCAUAAGGAUUUGUGAAACUUUCUCACAUUGAUGUCUAUGAGGUGAAGUAAAAAUUAGAAAAUUCUUCAAGCAUAGUUGAAGUUAAAGAGGGUUUUCAUCUGACAUUAGAAGUAGUGAUUUAGAGGUGAGGUAGAAAGAAAAUUUGGAUGAAAUUGAAUAGUGAUUUCCUUAUUCUUUCGAAUUUAUUGGUUUUGGAAUUCUUGAUGAUACUUCUUUGAUAGGAUAUAUGGCUCUAUUAUUCAAAA